UACGAAGGGGGCUAGCGUUGUUCGGAAUUACUGGGCGUAAAGGGCGCGUAGGCGGUGUGUCAAGUCAGGCGUGAAAGCCCCGGGCUCAACCUGGGAACCGCGCUUGAGACUGGCACGCUCGAGUUCGGGAGAGGAUGGUGGAAUUCCCAGUGUAGAGGUGAAAUUCGUAGAUAUUGGGAAGAACACCGAUGGCGAAGGCAGCCAUCUGGACCGACACUGACGCUGAGGCGCGAAAGCGUGGGGAGCAA
rnacentral:rRNA from 1 species